UACGGAGGGUGCAAGCGUUAUCCGGAUUUACUGGGUUUAAAGGGUGCGUAGGUGGGUAGGAAAGUCAGUGGUGAAAUCUUCGGGCUUAACCCGGAAACUGCCAUUGAUACUAUUUAUCUUGAAUACUUUGGAGGUAAGCGGAAUAUGUCAUGUAACGGUGAAAUGCUUAGAUAUGACAUAGAACACCAAUUGCGAAGGCAGCUUACUACACAGUUAUUGACACUGAGGCACGAAAGCGUGGAGAUCAAACAGG
rnacentral:rRNA from 1 species